rnacentral:rRNA from 1 species
GUCUACGGCCAUACCACCCUGAACGCGCCCGAUCUCAUCUGAUCUCGGAAGCUAAGCAGGGUCGGGCCUGGUUAGUACUUGGAUGGGAGAGCUUCUGCUAGUUUCACC